rnacentral:lncRNA from 1 species
CAAACAAAAAUAAAUAUCCAGAUCUGCUAAGCCAUAUAUUUUCAGCAGAGUUUCCCAAAACUCAUAGCUUCUGCACAGUCUGCAGGUAACAAAUAUUGUAUUUAAAUAUCUAACUUCAAAGAGAAAUGACUGCAGAAGAAGCUCUGCUUUUCUUUUUAAUUAAAACUUUGAGAAUAUUACUGGAGUGGACCCCAAAAGUUAAAGAGCAGAAGGUAAAUAAAAUGUUAUGUGUCUUAAUGUCUUUGCAGUUGGACCUUACAAUUGCUCGAUCCCGUUAUCUUGGCUCCAAGAGCCAAGGACAUGCGGGAGAUGUUGUGCGUCCGUUUGGAGACGAAGCGGAUAGGCGCAGUGGUGGAGAUGACAAGGGUGUCCACGAAGUGAGAGACUUGCCAGAGUCAGACGCUGCAGACUGUGAAGUGUUUCUCAUCAGAAGGGUGGCAGGAGCGAAUGCAAUAGUGGUUACUGCAAAGAACGCCUCUGUCAUCACACGCUCAGGGCUACCGGGGAUGGCUUUCCUUACUGCUCUUAAUAAACAUCUACCUUGGUCCAGUAGGAGAACUGCAACAGAAGGCGACAAUCCAACUCAGUGUUUACUAAAUUGCCAGAGAUCCCUCAUGCGUCCUGGGGUUUGCUUGCAGCAGGGCUUUGGCAGCUGGAAGGUUUGUUUAGCUGGUGCUGGUUGAGAUGUGUAAACAGCAUGAAAGGCAGAAGCGUUUGACCAGAAAGGGUUUUCACUCUUUGCUUGUUAGCUACUUAAGUUGUGAUUGCUUGUUUAACUCUCUAACUAUGCUAACUUAAUACACAUACUUACAGAAUAUAGAUACAUUUAAUUAUUUAAAUGAGCUAAAU